rnacentral:tRNA from 1 species
GGGCUGGGGCUCAGUGGUGCAGCGCUCGCCUAGCACGUGUGAGGCACUGGGUUCAAACCUCAGCACCACA